rnacentral:rRNA from 1 species
AUUGAACGCUGGCGGCAGGCCUAACACAUGCAAGUCGAACGAGUGGCGGACGGGUGAGUAAUGUCUGGGACCCUGCCUGAUGGAGGGGGAUAACUACUGGAAACGGUAGCUAAUACCGCAUACCCUCAGAUGUGCCCAGAUGGGAUUAGCUAGUUGGUGGGGUAACGGCUCACCAAGGCGACUAUCCCUAGCUGGUCUGAGAGGAUGACCAGCCAAACUGGAACUGAGACACGGUCCAGACUCCUACGGGAGGCAGCAGUGGGGAAUAUGGCACAAUGGGCGCAAGCCUGAUGCAGCCAUGCCGCGUGUAUGAAGAAGGCCUUCGGGGUGUAAAGUACGUUCAGCGGGGAGGCGUUACCCGCAGAAGAAGCACCGGCUAACUCCGUGCCAGCAGCCGCGGUAAUUC